rnacentral:sRNA from 1 species
GUAUUGAAGAAUUCUCUAAUUACCCGUACCUAAAAUAAGUCUCAGAUAAACGGGUAAACAAGUUUCCCUGGUGUUGGCGCAGUAUUCGCGCACCCCAACUUCGGU